UACGGAGGGUGCGAGCGUUGUCCGGAAUCACUGGGCGUAAAGGGCGCGUAGGUGGCGCGGGCAGUCAACGGUGAAAGUUCGGGGCUCAACCCUGAAUCGGCCGUCGAUACUCCCGUGCUUGAGCACUGUAGAGGCAGAGGGAAUUUCCGGUGGAGCGGUGAAAUGCGUAGAGAUCGGAAAGAACACCAACGGCGAAAGCACUCUGCUGGGCCGACACUGACACUGAGAGACGAAAGCUAGGGGAGCGAAUGGG
rnacentral:rRNA from 1 species